GUGGCACAUACAGCAGAAAGAGAAGAGGCCAGGGAUGGAUGCCUACACAUGCCUGAUAUUAGAAAAUCAAGAGCCAGGAAAGGAUACAUUGAGAUCCAGGAGAAAAUCCCAGAGGAACAAAACGCUGGCCUGGUGUGGUGACACAUGUCUGAAAUUCCAGCACUUGGGAGGUAGAGGGAUCAAGGUCAUCCUCGCCAUAUGAUGAGUUGGAGACCAGCCUGGACCACAUGAAGCUCUGCCUUAAGGGGGACCAGUGAGGGAACCAGAUAGUUCAGUCAAUAAAGUUCUUGUCUUACUAGAAUGAAAAGAAGACCGGAGUUUGCUCCCCAGAAUCCACAUUUUUAAAAUGCUGGCAUGGUAGCAUGCCCUUGUAAUCCCAGAGCAGGGGGAAAGGAGGUAGAGACAGAUGGAUUCUUGGGACCACUCAACAGCCAACCUAGCUUACACAGGCAGAUCCAAGAAAGUGAUGGACCCUGUCUCCAAAACAUGAGAGGUCUCCCUCUGACAUCCACAUACAUGUGUAUGCAGAUCAUGCAAACACUUGUACCUCUCUCUCUCUCUCUCUCUCUCUCACACACACACACACACACACACACACACACACACACACACACACACACGAUGACUAAGCUCUCAGUUUAACUUAGGCAGCUCUCACUUUGAACUCCUGCAUCUUACCUUCCACUCAGGUUGUUUUGUGACUAAAAAUGCCUGAAGGACUCAUGUCUUUGUGGCAUGCAUGUCUGUGUCACCCAUGGCCAGAGAAAUUUACAUUGAGAGGCUGAUCCUUGGCCAAAGGACAAUAGAAACCGACAGUAAAUGCUUCCCCUUACAUCCACUGGGUAGACAUGUUUGAGUCAGGUUUCAUGACUGAUCAUUAGAGAAAGAGAAUCAGGUGUCUAUAAAAAUAGUUACAAGAAGAGCAUCUUUUUCUUGUUUUAUAGCAGCAGCAGCACCACCACUCAUACCCUGAGGUCACUCCUCUGUAAUCACCUGCCUACACACCAGCAUUUGAGACACAGUAGAACAUGACAGGAAGAGGAAAGGAGUGACUGGUACAGCCUGGCCUUGAAGAAGGUGAGAGGAGUUGGGUGGAGACUGCCCGUUACAAGAAGAGAGAAUGUUUUCUCCAUGUGCCACAGGGGCACAGGUAAGAUGACUGUGUAGGAGUCAGUUACAAUCAUGUAUCAGCAUGUGCCAUUACUAAGUCUGCUUGGAGUUUGGAACUUCACAGAUGACAGGUUACCUGUCUGCAUUAGUUUUGGAUUCAGAGAAGAAAUUUGAUAAAUGUCAUUUGUUGAAUAUGUGUAUCUAUAUUUGUGCCUAUAGGGAACUUUGUUGCAAAGACCUGGCUUAUAUAAUGGUGAGGGAAAGAGGGAUGAGAACUUUCCUAUUCUAUCCUAUCCACUUUUCUAUUGUUCAGGCUUUUUCUUACAGUAUUCACAAAUUGAUUUUACUAAGAACAUGGGUGAUACUUUAAAACCUCUAUGCACGUUAAACAUAGAAUUUGCUCCUGGGAGGCAGCUGUGUAGAGAACAUUUUUUUUUUUAGCUUACAGAAUAUACAAAGCAGUCAGCCACAAGCAUUUCCGUUGUUCUGAAUUACUCAUCAGCCACACUUUUAAUAGACGUUUAGUGUAGCUUGUGCCUGGUGUAUUUUGUGAUAGUUCUCUUCAAGCUCUGUUAUAAAUUAAUGGUCUUGGUAAUGACACAUGCAGAUACAUGAAUGAAAACCAAUGAUGAAUUUCAGGAUGACUAAGGUUGAGGUAUGCAGAGAUUAUAACUGACUCCUAGACUAUACCAGAGGAACUCGAGUUAGCCAAGACGUUUUGGUGCCAGGCAGGAGGGACUGAGGCUGAAACUCCAAAGCCAUUCCACCACAAAUUAUCUCAGCCAGUCAACUUGGCCUGGGGCCUAGACUGUUUAUUUUUAAAUUAGCAUGGUUUUAGUUUUCUCCACACUGAUUUCAGAUCUGUGCAUCACUUGGCUCCUGACAUAGGGUUCAUGUUCAUUACAUUCCUGUUGAGAGUUUAAACACAUAUCCUGAUAAUGACUUCCAAUUUGGCCAAAGAGUGGCAACCUGAAAUAUCAGCAAGCUAUUUCUCUGAAGUGAGAAGCAUAGGUUAUCAUCUAAUUGAUCAUUGACUGAGUGACUGACAACGAAUUUCUAACUUAAAGGGAGUCGGAGGAUUUUAAAAAAUAAAAUAAAAUGCUCAAAGUGACCAGCAUGCGAGAGAAAAUGGGAAAUUUCACCAAAGUUUAAAAGUGAAUGAAGUAUAAAUGUUGGCAAUUUAAGACAAGACAUUAGAGAUUAAUUCUGUGGUCUUAUUGUAAUAUUGAUUCAGCUAAGCAAAGACCCAAUAAGUUGAAGACAGUUCAGCUAAGUUUCCAUGUAUCUAAAUGCAAAAGGGGGGAGGUGGGAAAAUGUGAGCCCAGCAUGUCAAACUAUAGGACAAUGUCAUGAGGGGAGCACUGUGAGAGAGGUGAAUAUGAUCAAAUCACAGUGUAUAAAAUUCUCAAAGAACAAUAAAACUGAUACAAUAAUUCUCAAAGAAG
rnacentral:lncRNA from 1 species